rnacentral:rRNA from 1 species
UGUGUUCAAGUUUUUAAGGGCAUACGGUGGAUGCCUUGGCAUCAGGAGCCGAUGAAGGACGUGGGAGCCUGCGAUAUGCCUCGGGGAGUCGGCAACCAGACUUUGAUCCGGGGAUUUCCGAAUGGGGAAACCUGGCACCCGUCAUGGGGUGUCGCCGCCGUCUGAAUGUAUAGGGCGGUUGGUGGGAACGCGGGGAAGUGAAACAUCUCAGUACCCGCAGGAAGAGAAAACAAUAGUGAUUCCGUGAGUAGUGGUGAGCGAAAGCGGAGGAGCCUAAACCGUGCGCGUGUGAUAGCCGGCAGGUGUUGCGUGUGCGGGGUUGUGGGACCAUCCUGAUCUGGCUGCCGCCGGGUCGAGAAGUUACAAACUGCUCGGGUAGUUGAACGGUAUGGGAAGGCCGACCGUAGACGGUGAGAGUCCGGUAGACGAAAUCCGAGUGGCUUCUGGGUGUGUUCCCGAGUAGCACGGGGCCCGUGAAAUCCCGUGUGAAUCUGCCACGACCACGUGGUAAGGCUGAAUACUUCCUGAUGACCGAUAGCGGACCAGUACCGUGAGGGAAAGGUGAAAAGUGCCCCGGUGAGGGGUCGUGAAAUAGUACCUGAAACCGUGUGCCUACAAGCCGUCAGAGCGUCCUCAACACCCUUUGGGGUGUUGUUCGUGAUGGCGUGCCUUUUGAAGAAUGAGCCUGCGAGUUAUGGUGUGUGGCGAGGUUAACCGGUGGCGGGUAGCCGUAGCGAAAGCGAGUCUGAAUAGGGCGUUUUUAGUCGCAUGCUGUAGACCCGAAGCGGGGUGAUCUAGCCAUGGGCAGGGUGAAGCGCCGGUAAGACGGUGUGGAGGCCCGAACCCACCAGGGUUGAAAACCUGGGGGAUGACCUGUGGUUAGGGGUGAAAGGCCAAUCAAACUCCGUGAUAGCUGGUUCUCCCCGAAAUGCAUUUAGGUGCAGCGUUGCGUGUUUCUUGCCGGAGGUAGAGCUACUGGAUGGCUGAGGGGCCCUACAAGGUUACUGACGUCAGCCAAACUCCGAAUGCCGGUAAGUGAGAGCGUGGCAGUGAGACUGCGGGGGAUAAGCUUCGUAGUCGAGAGGGAAACAGCCCAGAUCAUCGGCUAAGGCCCCUAAGCGUGUGCUAAGUGGGAAAGGAUGUGGAGUUGCCGUGACAACCAGGAGGUUGGCUUAGAAGCAGCCAUCCUUGAAAGAGUGCGUAAUAGCUCACUGGUCAAGUGAUUCCGCGCCGACAAUGUAGCGGGGCUCAAGCACACCGCCGAAGCCGUGGCACUCAGGUCAUGUGACCUGGGUGGGUAGGGGAGCGUCCUGCAGCCGGUGAAGCCGCCGAGUGAUCGAGUGGUGGAGGCUGUGGGAGUGAGAAUGCAGGCAUGAGUAGCGAAUCACGCGUGAGAAACGUGUGCGCCGGAUGACCAAGGGUUCCUGGGGCAGGCUAAUCCGCCCAGGGUAAGUCGGGACCUAAGGCGAGGCCGACAGGCGUAGUCGAUGGACAACGGGUUGAUAUUCCCGUACCCGCUGGUAUGCGCCAACGCUGAAUCCUCUGAUGCUAACCACCCGAGCUACCGUGUGGGCCUUCGGGCCUGUGUGGUGGGGAGCGUGGGACCCGAGGGGGUAGUAGGUGAGCGAUGGGGUGACGCAGGAGGGUAGCUCAGCCCAGGCGAUGGUUGUCCUGGGGUAAGCAUGUAGCCCGGUGUGCAGGUAAAUCCGCACACCAUCUAAGGGUGAGAUGUGAUGCCGAGCCGUUUUAGGUGAAGUGAGUGAUCCCAUGCUGCCGAGAAAAGCCUCUAGUGAGUGUAUCGGCGGCCCGUACCCUAAACCGACUCAGGUGGUCAGGUAGAGAAUACCAAGGCGAUCGGGUGAACUGUGGUUAAGGAACUCGGCAAAUUGCCCCCGUAACUUUGGGAGAAGGGGGGCCU